UGGAUCACCUCCUAACAGGGAGACAACAAAAUGUAAAUAUUAAUUUUGUCACCUUAGGUCGAUCGGUAUCUCAGAUUCUUAUUUUUUAAGAAUUUCAGUUUCUAAGUUUUUUCUAGGUCACACCCAUCACUUUUUCCUGGGCCAUUAGCUCAGGUGGUUAGAGCGCACCCCUGAUAAGGGUGAGGUCCCUGGUUCAAGUCCAGGAUGGCCCAUAUCUCUAUGUUGGGGGUAUAGCUCAGUUGGUAGAGCGCCUGCUUUGCAAGCAGGAUGUCAGCGGUUCGAGUCCGCUUACCUCCACUGAAUACCACCUCUUACAUAUAUACAGAUGGAAAUUGUUUUGAGUCGUGUCCUAAUUUGCUCUGAGCGAAUCUAGCUUCCUAUUUUAUCCCACAAAUAAGAUGCUGGACUCAUUGAAUUUUUUUCAUUGUUUUCAGAGAACCUUGACAACUGCAUAGAUUAUUUUUGAAGACAAUAAGCAUCUUUAAUGAUGCAGAUUUAUUAUUUGUGCGAAUGCAUUAAAUAACAAUUCUAUUAAGCUGAUGCUUCAAUUAUUGAAGUUAUUGGUCAAGCUACAAAGGGCUCACGGAGGAUACCUAGGCACACAGAGGCGAUGAAGG
rnacentral:tRNA from 1 species